rnacentral:tRNA from 2 species
GGUUCCUUGGUUUAAGUAGUAAGAACACCGUCCUAGUAAGACGGAAGUACUGGUGCAAGUCCAGUAGGAGCCAC